GACAGAGGUGCCAAGCGUUAGGCGGAAUCACUGGGCUUAAAGCGUGUGUAGGUGGAUGCCUAAGUGCCUUGUGAAAUCCCACGGCUCACCCGUGGAACUGCUUGGCAUACUGGGUGUCUUGAGCCACUUAGGGGUCGCUGGAACAAACGGUGGAGCGGUGAAAUGCGUAGAUAUCGUUUGGAACGCCAAUGGUGAAAACAGGCGACUGGGAGUGUGCUGACACUGAGACACGAAAGCCAGGGGAGCGAACGGG
rnacentral:rRNA from 1 species